rnacentral:rRNA from 1 species
CAGCCGCCACGGGAAUACGAAGGGUGCAAGCGUUAAUCGGAAUUACUGGGCGUAAGGCGUGCGUAGGCGGUUUGUUAAGUCUGUUGUGAAAUCCCCGGGCUCAACCUGGGAAUGGCAAUGGAUACUGGCAAGCUAGAGUGUGUCAGAGGAUGGUGGAAUUCCCGGUGUAGCGGUGAAAUGCGUAGAGAUCGGGAGGAACAUCAGUGGCGAAGGCGGCCAUCUGGGACAACACUGACGCUGAGGCACGAAAGCGUGGGGAGCAAACAGGAUUAGAUACCCGCGUAGUCCCUGUCUCUUAUAC